GUAUUCCCAUUUAUUCAAGUUGGAUUUUUUUUGCAUUCCACCUGCUGAUGUCCGAGCAAUUGGGGCAGUGCCAAAGCAAGUCCUGGGUGUGCUCAGCCCCUCCCCUACCUUCAUCUCUUGAUCAUCUCUAAUGAAAGACACAAUGAAGAGACCUUUUAUAAAGGACAAUGAAGAGAAGAUAGUUUUUCCAGUGCUUAUUUGAUUGGACACUUUUCAUAAGUGCUGGUGUGUGACAAGCAAAAGGUAGAGGAAAACAAAGAAACUCCAGCUGCUAUGGAACGGUCUAAAUACAGGGGCUAAACUUCCUGGCAUUGUCUCAUGGUAUUGAAAACAAAUACUGAGAAUCUGAAAGGAUGCAUCAGACUGCUACUGAGGGGAUGGAUUGCUGAUGUGAGAGAAACUGCUACAUAUGAAAGGGUGAUAUAUGGAAUGGAAAAAGAGGACUGCAAGCCUUCUUUCACACAGUGCAUCCUGGCUCACUUCCUUGUCUUGGAAAAGAUUGUUUUAAUACCUGUGAACAUGUGCAUUACAAGAGACAGACUUACUCCUUCCUGUAUUGAAAACUGAGCUCUGAAUAUUUCUCUGGGAACAUCAAGCAUGGAGAAUUAGCACAUUGGACAGAGAAUGCCUUCCUAUCCCUGAAAGAAAAAAUGAGCAGACUGAGGCAGCACCACUGUUACAGGCUGAGGACGAGCUCCACAUGACUCAGAAGUGAAAGAGAGAAAUGAAACCAAAGCCUCCUACAGCAAAUUUCUUCCUACCUCUCUCCUCCCUUUCCCCUACCAAACUGUAUUGUCUUAAUCUGGGAACGUGAUUUAUUUCUGAAAUAUCUAGUGGGUGGCAGAGGUGGGGAGCAAAGCUGCACAAAGCUCCCCAGAGCUGCUGACCGAGGUAAAUAGUGUGUCAUAACACAUUUAUCAAAUAAUAAUGGAAACUGUAUAGAACACAUAGGAGAGGGAGGGGGAAACCCCCUUCCCCACUGGGAAGUUACUGAAUAUUUCAGCCAGUUUAUAAAAGUAUGUGUGCAUGUGUUUGGAAGGGGGAGGUUUUUCUAGCUCCACCUCUGCAAAUCAAUCAUUGGCGUGGGAUGUCUGAGCAGACAAGUGAAAUGGAUGAGCGCAUUAUGGAUCAAGGAGGUGGGAUUCCUGCCUUGGUUGGUUUGAGACAGACCCCCCAAGCACUGUGGGUCUAAGAUGAGACUGUAAGCAGAGCUCGUAGAGUUCUGAAAGGCUGAGGCUGCAGCCUCUGACAUGGUAUGAAGGUGGGGAAUAAAAUAAAAUUGGUGAUAAAU
rnacentral:lncRNA from 1 species